rnacentral:misc_RNA from 1 species
AGUAAAAUAGUACGUGAAAUUGUUGAAAGGGAAACGAUUUAAGUCAGUCGUACCGACGAGAAAUCAGCUCUUCGAGUGCGAACUUGUGGGCGUGCGUGAGUCUUUAACGGGCCUCGCUGUUUGCAAUUUUGUGCUUUUUGGGUGUACUUUUUCGUAUGGUAGGCCAACGUCAGUUUCGAUCACCGUAAAAUGAUCGGAGGAAUGUAGCUUCGAUCUCGUAUUGAAGUGUUAUAGCCUCUGGUAGAUGCGGUGACCGAAACUGAGGAUUGCAACGAAUACCCUUUUGGGCUAUCCGUCUGGCCUCUGAAAGUUGCUUAGGUGCCGAAAGCGUGCUUACGGCUAUUUAAGUUGACGGUCAACAGGUUAGAACGUGAUUACAUUCGUUAAGGACGUUGGCGUAAUGGCUUUAAA